AUGGCCCACACUAGAAGGACUGCCGGUGUUAAACCGGAGGAAGGAGGGGGCCACGGCAGGUCAGCAUGCCCCGAAACCUCCGGGCCGCACGCGGGUUACAAUGGCAGGGACAGCGGGAUCCGACCCCGAAAGGGGAAGGCAAUCCCACAAACCCUGCCUCAGUUGGGAUCGAGGGCUGAAACUCGCCCUCGUGAACGAGGAAUCCCUAGUAACCGCGGGUCAACAACCCGCGGUGAAUACGUCCCUGCUC
rnacentral:rRNA from 1 species